rnacentral:rRNA from 1 species
UGGGGAAUCUUGGACAAUGGGGGCAACCCUGAUCCAGCCAUGCCGCGUGAGUGAUGAAGGCCUUAGGGUCGUAAAGCUCUUUCGCCUGUGAAGAUAAUGACGGUAGCAGGUAAAGAAACCCCGGCUAACUCCGUGCCAGCAGCCGCGGUAAUACGGAGGGGGUUAGCGUUGUUCGGAAUUACUGGGCGUAAAGCGCACGUAGGCGGACCAGAAAGUUGGGGGUGAAAUCCCGGGGGCUCAACCCCGGAACUGCCUCCAAAACUAUUGGUCUAGAGUUCGAGAGAGGUGAGUGGAAUUCCAAGUGUAGAGGUGAAAUUCGUAGAUAUUUGGAGGAACACCAGUGGCGAAGGCGGCUCACUGGCUCGAUACUGACGCUGAGGUGCGAAAGUGUGGGGAGCAAACAGGAUUAGAUACCCUGGUAGUCCACGCCGUAAAACGAUGUCUGCUAGUCGUUGGGGGGCGUAGCCCUUCAGUGACGCCGCUAACGCAUUAAGCAG